AUUGAACGCUAGCGGCAUGCCUAACACAUGCAAGUCGAACGAGUGGCGGACGGGUGAGUAAUGUCUGGGAACCUGCCUGAUGGCGGGGGAUAACUACUGGAAACGGUAGCUAAUACCGCAUACCAUCAGAUGUGCCCAGAUGGGAUUAGCUAGUUGGUGGGGUAACGGCUCACCAAGGCGACGAUCCCUAGCUGGUCUGAGAGGAUGACCAGCCACACUGGGACUGAGACACGGCCCAGACUCCUACGGGAGGCAGCAGUGGGGAAUUUUGCACAAUGGGCGCAAGCCUGAUGCAGCCAUGCCGCGUGUAUGAAGAAGGCCUUCGGGUUGUAAAGUACUUUCGGCAGGGAGGCGGUACCCGCAGAAGAAGCACCGGCUAACUCCGUGCCAGCAGCCGCGGUAAUAC
rnacentral:rRNA from 1 species